CCAAACGGAAGGAAGGAAAGGGCAAACAUGAAAAGAUGGUUAAGCAGACCACUUUCGAGAGAAACGGAAGGCAUUGGGGCACGAGAAGUAAUUGACGUUAAAGUUGAAGUACGCUUGUCUUCAUCUUGUUCGCCCAAAUCCGAGAAGCAAUUGAUUAUAACAAUGGAGUUGGAAGCUGAUUUUCCAGUUUAAAAAGGGAAACAAAAAAGAACAAAAAAGGCACCGAUCGAUUAAAUUAGUACAUCUUCAUUUGGGAACUACCAUCCAAUUCACUUCUUCUACUUACAUCUGGAUUUCGAUGUGACACUGUACUUUAAACCUUUCUCCCACGCUCUUAUCCACUCCAUUCGCAACCAAAAAGAAGGCUGCACUGUUUUCAACCAUAAGGAAUUGUCUGGAUCAGAGGUGACGUUUCAGGUGGUGGCUGAACAGUGAUCCCUCUCUCUCUCUCUCUCUCAUUUUUUUCCCUUUCCUUUUUACAUUGACAAUUGCUGUUGCAUGAUCACAUCACAUUGCUCUCACCCUUUAUUCAUUUCUCAACUAUAAUGUUCUGUUGCCGCCGUAGUACGAUUAAACUCUCUUUACUUUACUGUCAUCCAAAAAGUCAUUUGCUGUCAAAUUUUCUUUCCCUUUGUCUGAUUUUGCAUCCUCCAGAAUCAAAUUUGGCUCCAAAUACCAUGAACGACUUGGGGAUUUGGAUAGGGAAAUCCUAUCACAAUCUCCUUAUUCAUCCCCUCUCUACAACAUCUCAAAAUGAAGGUUUCUUACUUGUUGCUGCUAUGUGGAGGAUGAAACAGUAGCCGGUUUUCUGUCACAAGAUUGAAAUUUGAUCAGAUCCUAAAGCAAAAUAGAUCUGUUUUAAUGGAUAAGGAUCAAGGAUCCAACAUGAUGAUAAUAUCUGUUGACAUACACACAGCCCAAUGGAUUAUUUAUUGCCGAGAAAUGAAAUAUAUGUUCUAACCAAAACUAGCAUACUUCAACUGAUGAAUAGAUGUAUUAGGUACUAAGAGGUUUGUGGUUUGAAUCUCCUACUCUAUUGUACUGAACAAUUAAAAUAUACGUUCUCAAAAUUUGCUUUUG